AUGCUCAGCCUUAACUAACUGGC
rnacentral:snRNA from 1 species